ensembl:lncRNA
GGAGCAUGCAUGGCAAAACAUAGCCGACAGAGUCAAUGCGUGAGUGGUAAUGUAAACAUUGAUCUAGGGAUUCCCACCCAUUUCAUUAUAUGUUACCCCAUUUGUCCUUUGCUACAUAUUAAUAUGUGAUGUGAUGUGAGCGCAGGUGCAACCCAACAGGCCCCAAACGUACCUGGCAGCAAGUAAAAAUUAAAUAUAAGAACAUAGUCCAAACAGCCAACAGAAAAAAAGCGGAGGCCCGGAAAACAGGUGGGGGUCCUCCACCACCACCACUCACAGAGGCUGAGCAGUUGGCCCUCAGCCAAAACAGUGGGCGCCCUGUGGCUGAAGGCAUCUCUGCGGGGACAUCCUCUGAGUCAAUAACCCCGCAAGACACAAGUGCAUACAUAAGGGUUGACGGUGAUGGUGUACUGCAUCUGGUGCAGCCCCCUGUUGAGCCAGACCGACAUGCAGUUGCACAUGAUGACGACACAGUGACAGCUGCUACAGAGGAGGCCGCAUCAGUGCCACACUAUGAGAGUGAUGCUGCAAAUGAGGAGGAAGAGGGUCCAGCCACUCCUACAACGAAGCUUUCCGCACUCCCUGUGAAGCAGCUGUAUAGAACAUAUCUGGCCAGGAGGAUAAGGAAGUGUGAUAUGGAAAUGGUGCACCUCCAGCUGCAGAUCCAGAAGUCGAAGCUGGAGAUUGUACUGCUGGAACAACAGUUAAGGGUGGGUGGAGUGAUCAUAGAUGGACGAAUCAUGUCAGUGUUCGUACAACAUACUAAUAUUCGCAUUUAUUCAUUGUGCACAGGACAUACAGGGUGAGCAAUAAAACAAGUUGAC